rnacentral:rRNA from 1 species
GAUGAACGCUGGCGGCGUGCUUAACACAUGCAAGUCGAACGAUGAAGGGGGAGCUUGCUCCUCUGGAUUAGUGGCGAACGGGUGAGUAACACGUGAGCAAUCUGCCCCUGACUCUGGGAUAAGCGCUGGAAACGGCGUCUAAUACCGGAUACGAGCCGAGCAGGCAUCUGCAUCGGUUGGAAAGAACUUCGGUCAGGGAUGAGCUCGCGGCCUAUCAGCUAGUUGGUGAGGUAAUGGCUCACCAAGGCGACGACGGGUAGCCGGCCUGAGAGGGUGCACGGCCACACUGGGACUGAGACACGGCCCAGACUCCUACGGGAGGAAGCAGUGGGGAAUAUUGCACAAUGGGCGCAAGCCUGAUGCAGCAACGCCGCGUGAGGGACGAAGGCCUUCGGGUUGUAAACCUCUUUUAGCAGGGAAGAAGCGAGAGUGACGGUACCUGCAGAAAAAGCACCGGCUAACUACGUGCCAGCCGCCGCAGUAACAC